rnacentral:rRNA from 1 species
GAUGAACGCUGGCGGCGUGCCUAAUACAUGCAAGUCGAGCGAACAGACGCUGAGCUUGCUCCUCUCACGAUAGCCGCGGGCGUGUGUGUCACACGUGUAUAACCUCCCUGUAAGACUGGUAUCACUUCGGGAAACCGGAGCUAAUCCCGUAUAAUCUCUUGAACCGCGUGGUUCAAUGGUAAAAGACGGUUUUGCUGUCUCUUAUCGCUGGAUCCGGGCCGCAUUGGCUAGUUGGUAGGGUAACGGCUUACCAAGGCAACGAUGCGUAGCCGACGGGAGAGGGGGAUAGGCGGCACUGGAACGGGGACGGGGUCCAGGCUCCUAAGGGAGGCAGCAGUAGGGAAUCGUCCGCAAUGGGCGAGAGUCUGACGGAGCAGCGGCGCGUGAGUGAUGAAGGUCUUGGGAGCGUAAAACUCUGUUAUGAGGGAAGAACAAAUGUGUCAGGAACUAUGCACGUCUUGACGGUAACUAGUAAGAAAGCAACGGCUAACUACGUG